rnacentral:rRNA from 1 species
GACGAACGCUGGCGGCGUGCCUAAUACGUGCAAGUCGAACGCACGAAGUUGAAGAGCUUGCUCUUUAACCAAGUGAGUGGCGGACGGGUGAGUAACACGUGGGUAACCUGCCCAUUAGAGGGGGAUAACAUUCGGAAACGGAUGCUAAUACCGCAUAGUUUCAGGAAUCGCAUGAUUCUUGAAGGAAAGGUGGCUUCGGCUACCACUAAUGGAUGGACCCGCGGCGUAUUAGCUAGUUGGUGAGGUAAUGGCUCACCAAGGCAAUGAUACGUAGCCGACCUGAGAGGGUGACCGGCCACACUGGGACUGAGACACGGCCCAGACUCCUACGGGAGGCAGCAGUAGGGAAUCUUCCGCAAUGGACGAAAGUCUGACGGAGCAACGCCGCGUGAGUGAAGAAGGUUUUCGGAUCGUAAAACUCUGUUGUUAAAGAAGAACAAGGAUGAGAGUAACUGCUCAUCCCCUGACGGUAUUUAACCAGAAAGCCACGGCUAACUACGUGCCAGCAGCCGCGGUAAUACGUAGGUGGCAAGCGUUGUCCGGAUUUAUUGGGCGUAAAGCGAGCGCAGGCGGUUCUUUAAGUCUGAUGUGAAAGCCCCCGGCUCAACCGGGGAGGGUCAUUGGAAACUGGAGAACUUGAGUGCAAAAGAGGAGAGUGGAAUUCCACGUGUAGCGGUGAAAUGCGUAGAUAUGUGGAGGAACACCAGUGGCGAAGGCGACUCUCUGGUCUGUAACUGACGCUGAGGCUCGAAAGCGUGGGGAGCAAACAGG